rnacentral:rRNA from 1 species
GACGAACGCUGGCGGCGUGCUUAACACAUGCAAGUCGAACGGAAAGGCCCUGCUUUUGUGGGGUGCUCGAGUGGCGAACGGGUGAGUAACACGUGAGUAACCUGCCCUUGACUUUGGGAUAACUUCAGGAAACUGGGGCUAAUACCGGAUAGGAGCUCCUGCUGCAUGGUGGGGGUUGGAAAGUUUCGGCGGUUGGGGAUGGACUCGCGGCUUAUCAGCUUGUUGGUGGGGUAGUGGCUUACCAAGGCUUUGACGGGUAGCCGGCCUGAGAGGGUGACCGGCCACAUUGGGACUGAGAUACGGCCCAGACUCCUACGGGAGGCAGCAGUGGGGAAUAUUGCACAAUGGGCGGAAGCCCGAUGCAGCAACGCCGCGUGCGGGAUGACGGCCUUCGGGUUGUAAACCGCCUUCGCCUGUGACGAAGCGUGAGUGACGGUAAUGGGUAAAGAAGCACCGGCUAACUACGUG